AAGGCUAGGUCACACAAAUGAAUAUAAUUCUAUCCAGUUUACUUGAAAGACGGAACAAAAGAGAUGAAAACCAAAAACGCUAAGAAAAAUCCACUGAAAUACAAGUAAAAAAGCAUGGAACAGGCGAUAAACUACCAAAAAAUCGAAUAGGAGAAGUGUUUCAUAAAGUUGAACACCAAAAACUAUAACAAAAACACACUAAAAAAUAAAAAGAAAGAAACAUAGAUCUGAAAACUAAAACAGAGAUGAAAACUAGUUCUGAAGAUGAAAACCACAAUACCCACAGAAAUAAAAGAAAAUAAGCAUAUCUGAAACAAAAAAAUACGUGAAAAAGAAAGGAUAGUUGAAGUGAAAAUCAUACCUGAAAUCACUAUCCGAUGUAGGAGGAGAUUUCAAUAUCACAAAAAACAAGAAACGGCAGAGAGCCAUUACGGUCUGUUCCAAUUCGGCCUAUCUCCAAACAGGCCUAUUCAAGGAUAGGAAUUUCCUGAAACGUAAAUCACAUGACAGACAGCCAUUUUGAAGAUGUUCUGAAAUGAGAAAAAACAUAUUUAGGUGCGCACUAAAAAUAAGAGAUGGAAACAGUUUUGCUCUAAAAUAUUUUACUAAUCUUUUUAAAAUUAAAUCCUAUCACAAGAAAACCGAAAGUAAAAACAAUGCGAACCCUUUCCAAAACAACCGAACACAAAAUACUAAAAAAUAAAAGACAAACCAAAUCCGAGGCCCAAGCCCACAAAUGGAUCUCUAACCACCAUACAAAAAAAAACACACACAAGACUGCACUUAACAAAAUUAAACCGAACCAAACCAUACCCAACUUACGCAAACAGAAUCAAAACGAACCACAACACUAUCCCACAACCCAAAACAGAGGUCAACUAGCCCAAGCAGAAUGGCAAAUAGGGUCAGACUGCCUCCGAUCAUUCCAUAACCGAAAACCAUGGCAAAAGUCCACUGAAAAUAUUAGUAGAAAGAAGCAUAGAUUUGAAAUGAAAAGGAAAGAGACAAAUACAUAUUCAUCCCUGAAAUCAUUAUCCGAUGAAUUAGGGAAACAGUAGUUGAUAAAGGAGAAAGGAACGUUAGAAAUAAGGGAAAAACAGGAGAGAAUAAAGGAAUAAGGAACGUGAUCCAUAGUUUCAACUACUGAAAGAAAUAGAUUUUCGCUAAAGCUGAAAAUCAAAAUCUCUGACAAAAGUACACAGGAAAGAAACAAAAAGAAUAAACAGAACGAGAUCAAUAGAUUUGUAACAAAACCAAAAAUCAAAAACCGUGACAAAGACACUCUGAAAAUAGAAGUUAAAAGAAGCAUAUAUCUGAAACUAAAACAGGAUUAACAAUAAAAUAGCCAUGGACGAAUGGAAAGACAGGAGACCAGAGACCGAGAGAAAACAUCCAUUUUUCUAAAAAGAAAGUGGAGAUGAAUGAGACGGAAUGAGCCAAUGUUUUCAAAAAUUCGAAUACCAUAAGCGUUUUCAACUUCUAUUUAUUAUAGAUUUUGCACCUGCAAAAGCGAUAGAAAGGAAUCAUGAAUGUGUACUUCUUGCUGCUACAGGGCAAAAAAGAUAAAAAUUAAAGACUUUGUGGACAGGAAGAGUAAUACAUAUUCCAAGGACAGAUCUAUCUCAUUCAAGGAUUUACAAGCAUAUACCUCAGACCGAUCGUUUAAACUAAUUAUUGUAGAGUUUCCCAGGGAAUUAUUUAAUUAAAGUCAUUCAUGUGUGCCUAUUUCCUGAUGGUUGGCAUAACAAUUGGGAUACUGGUUUCACAGUACUUAAAAUCCAGCCAAUCAGAGAUUUUUCUUUUGCAGGACAUCAGACUAGAAAGCAGUUUUUUAUACACGAGACCAGUAGGCUAUCUGGACAGAAAUAUUAGAAAGAAAGCCAGCCGAAAAAGUUUAAAGCAUUAUCUUAAGUGAGAUAAAAGGGAGAGGAAAAAAUAGACUUUACUUUGGUCAGACCAAAGACUGCAAACCUGAACCAACAACACCCCAAACCCACACAGCUAAACACACCACACUCCAAACCAGAGAUGAAAAAAGCAAAAAGCAAAAAGACAAAUGUUGAAGCAGAUUCAUACCUGAAAUCAGUCUCCCAUGAAGCAGGGGUUACAAAAAUCGGAACAAAGAAACGGCAGAGAAAUGAACCCACUGAAAUAGAAGUAAAAAAAACAUUGAUUGGAAAACAAAAUAGAAAUCAAAAGGCAAAGACAGACAAAGUCAAAGUUAAGGAUUCAUACCCCAAAAUCAGUCCCCGAUGAAGCAGUCGGUUUCAAAAACCACAAAAAACAGUGUAGGGUGUGUGUUUUUUUUUUUGGCCUUUUGUUACCCAAAGCUAAAAAAAUGAGAGGAAAGAAAUUGAAAAGUGACCGAGAGAGAGAACCGGUAAAGAAAUGGGAAGAGAUUUGGAUUGAAGAGAUAUAUUUGAGGAUUUGUUAUGAAAACAGAAUAAAUGAGGAAGAAAAAGAAAACAAAAGAGGGAGACCAAGAGACAGAGAGAGAAAGAAACGGAUAAUAAAUGUGCAUAGAUUGAAGAGAUAUUUAAUAAACGGCUAAUAAAUCAGUUUUGGGCCAUUUUAACGGUCACUUAG
rnacentral:lncRNA from 1 species